AGACACGCCGGAUAGGGCGGAAUAUGAGACGCGAGUUCGACUCGCGUUUCUUCCUCGCCUCUGCGUCGCUACGGCGCCGCCGCCCGCCUCUAGGUAACCAUCGCCCGCCUCCGCGCCGCGGUAGCCUACCUCCGAGGCCGUUGUAGCCCGCUCCCCGCUGCCGCCGCUUGCAGCCUCCGCGCCGUAUCCGCCCGCCACCGGUCGCCCGCGACCUCCGCUGCCUUCUGCAGCAGCAGUGACCUCGCCGCCAGUCGCACCACCGGGGUACGAGCCCACGCAGAGCUGAUGACUCCGCUGCCGUCGCUCUGGCUGCCGUUGACUUCUCCGGCCGGACGCAAGCUAGCUUUCUUUCCUUCCUCCUGUCCUUUCUCUCAUCCUCAACAGGCCAAUUUUGGGACACUGUGUUUCUUGUUGUUAGUUAUCACACAAGAUACUUUUCUUGCAAAUUUUAGUAACAAUCGAUGUGUUACUGUUGGAUUUCCUACAAGAAAUUUUCAUUAGAUUGAUUCACAGAAGCUAUAUGCCGACAUGUUGUUGGAUUUUGAUAAUCUUAGUUUAUCACAACAAAUUUUAGUUGAUAAAUUGUUGCCAUCACACAAGAUACUGACCUGAUCUUCUUCUCUAAAGAUGUCAUGAAAUGUGGUGGCAGCCUGGAUUUUUAUUUUUGGGUUGGGAAAUUAGUUAAGUGACUGUAAUUUGGAAUUUUGCAUCAUUAAUUGCUACCUUGUUGUGCAGCAUAAGCGUGUGAUGGCAUCCUGGAAAGCAAUUUCUAAUGCUUCAUACAUAGCCUGAGCAAGUUGGCAAAAUAACCUGUGUAUUGAAAAUGUAUCGCCAUCACUGACACUACUUCUAUCUGUAGCUAAUGCUUAUAUGAAGGUUAGCAUACAUGGUCUGGACAUUAACAUUUUUCCUUCCAAAGUGAUGCAGGUUAAGUGCAUCUCUAUGUAGUUAAUGCAUAUAUGAAGCUUCAUCUUUUUUUCCUUUCUAAUAUGUAGACUGUAGCUGCAUAUAUCCUCAUGCAUAUAUGCAUUGUUAUUCUCUGAUUGUUUGUUCCUUCUUUCUACCUAAAAUGACACACAUGUGUAGCCUGAUUAUAUGCUUUCUGCUUCAAUAUAUGCAACUUCUUGGAUUAACUUAAACAGUAGUGGAUAGCUAAUUUAAAGCUUGUUCUUCUAACAUUUUUCUUCUAAAGAGCCACACGAAAUACCACCAAUCAAGUACAGAUGUCUUGUUAUUUAGUUGGUCGUUUGUUUGCGUGGCUCCUGUGGAAAAGUGUACCUGCGUUAUGUUCUCAUGAUUUUGAUUGCUUCAGAUUUUUUUUAGAUGAAAUUGGUAACCAAUUACUACACAAGCAUGUAUGCUGCAGUUUACAGAAUAACAUAUGAAUUUCAAGGACAAAUAUUUCUAGUUAAUAACUGACAUGUGUCCAUUUAUCAGUUAUGAUCAGUAGCAGCACAAAAUUGAACUUUACUCAUGCUUACCAAUUCUUGAUAUUGACAAGCUUAUGGUCCUCUACAACUUCGCAAUGUUAACUCCAAGAAUGACAAGGUGUGCUAGAAGAGGAAGACUGGAAUCAAUCUAUUGUUGAUCGUUUAAUUUGGUAUUAUUGCCAAGUAGUUGAUUUUUCAUGGAAGUACCUGAAUAAGCACAAUGAUCAAAACCUGAGAUGUUCUUGUUUUAUUUCAUUCUGUCAUGCUGUUUUUGCUAGAUGAGAUGUAAAAAUCUGAGUUUUAUUGCCUUCCAUUGUGGCCAGAUACUUCUGAAAUACAAGGCGUUAGAUACUGCCCAUGACCAAUGGACAUAUGCCGUUAGUUCUAUUCCCACUUGAAGAAAAGAAUAGCUUGAAUAAAUUUUUCGUAAAAUGCUCUGGUGCAAGAUUUCUUCUUUGUUCGUGAGCAAACUCGGCGUGGGGAGUGAUGAAGGAGCAGGCAGCUUCUGCCUUCCGGAGUCAGCUGGUCAUUCUGUUUGCGAAGCUAGGCCACGAGCAUCAGGACAUACUUCCAUCUACUCGUCAUCACAUUGCCUGGGCUUUGCAUUCAAUUUGGCAGGAUUUAUUGUUGCAGCUAAUCAAAAGAUUCAUGAGGACCUAGACAGGGUGAAGUGCUUCGAUGCUGAAGGAGCCCUCAAAUACGGAAUUAUUGACCGUAUUGUUUUGCCUUCUCAGAUCAAGAAAGAGGAAUACGCUGGUCAAAAGAAGCAUCAAUGGGAUAUGAGACUUGACUAAGAUGCUAUUGUACGGAGACGACAGUUACAUCUCCAGGCACUGUUAUGCAGCUCCAGAAAGCGUGGCUAGGCUCGGAGGUCUGGUCGGUAACAGGAGGCCAUGAACUCCGCGAGCUCAUGGAGGGUCUAGCGCAGCAAACAGACACACAUUUCAGUCAUUAUGUGACCAUAAAUUAGCUACUUUCAACUAAAUUACAUAAAUAACCUUCCCAAGUCCCAAUUUCAGUACAGAAAAAAUGUACCUAACUGCUACUUAAGCUAAUUGCUUGCUUGUAUCUGAAUGUUUAAAUAAUUCUCAUUACUAGUUUUGAGCUGA